rnacentral:rRNA from 1 species
CGUGCCUAACACAUGCAAGUCGAGCGGAGAGGGCGAGGGGGUUACUCUGAGCCUCUUAGCGGCGGACGGGUGAGUAACGCGUGGGUAACCUACCCUAAAGCUCGGGAUAACAGUGGGAAACCGCUGCUAAUACCGGAUGACUUUAACCUAUGGCAUCAUGGGUUAAAGAAAGAUUUAUCGCUUUAGGAUGGGCCCGCGUCCCAUUAGCUAGUUGGUGAGGUAACGGCUCACCAAGGCGACGAUGGGUAGCCGGCCUGAGAGGGUGUACGGCCACACUGGGACUGAGACACGGCCCAGACUCCUACGGGAGGCAGCAGUAGGGAAUAUUGCGCAAUGGACGGAAGUCUGACGCAGCGACGCCGCGUGAGCGAUGAAGGCCUUCGGGUCGUAAAGCUCUGUUGUGAGGGACGAAGGAGCGCCGUUUGAAUAAGGCGGNGCGGUGACGGUACCUCACGAGAAAGCCCCGGCUAACUACGUGCCAGCAGCCGCGGUAAUACGUAGGG